GACUAUAGUUAAGGUCCCUAAAUUUCGGUCAAGUGUUAAAUGCAAAUGGCGUCGGCAGUCCAAAACAACCGGGAGGUGGGCUUAGAAGCAGCCAUCCUUUAAAGAUAGCGUAACAGCUCACCGGUCUAGAUUGUGGGCCCAGAAAAUGGACGGGGCUAAACCGAAUACCGACACUAUAGAAUACAGCAAUGUAAUUUGGUAAGGGGGCGCGGUGCAUGGGCAGAAGUGGGGCCGUGAGGUCCUGUGGACCGUGUACCGACGAGGAUCCUGGUGAGAGUAGCAGCAUAGUACGGUGAGAAUCCGUACCGCCGCAGGGGCAAGGGUUCCUUGGCAAUGUUCGUCAGCCAAGGGUUAGUCGAUCCUAAGGUAGUUCUUAAUCGAAACUAUCGAAUGGGAAACUGGUUAAUAUUCCAGUACUGAAGCAGUCUUUGUCCAUACUUAAGGAGUAGGAUAUCUGGAGUACACUUGUCUGUGUAUUCAAGCGUUUAAAUUCAUGAAGAACCGUCAUGGUGAGAAGUGAACGAAUGCGUGAUAAGGAGAGCGAAAGUUCUCUUCUGGAAAGUCCUAGUCCCCGUGAAAAGGGUAUGGUUACAACUGUUUUAUUCGUACCAAGAACCGACACAGGUGUCCCUAGGUGAAAAGCCUAAGGCGUGAUAGCAUAAUCUAGGCGAGGGAACUCGGCAAAUUAGCUCUGUAACUUCGGGAUAAAGGGUGCCAGUAGUGUAAGCUACUGGUCGCAGUGACAAGAGAACUCCGACUGUUUAAUAAAAACAUAGGUCCCUGCUAAUUCGAAAGGACUUGUAUAGGGGCCGAAGCCUGCCCAGUGUUGGUAUCUGAACAUCUGUUUCAACGGAUCGAAGGACCAAUAAACGGCGGGGGUAACUAUGACCCUCUUAAGGUAGCGUAAUACCUUGUCGCUUAAUUGGCGACUCGCAUGAAGGCUCAACGUGGGUUCUACUGUCCCCGCCUAGACGCUAGUGAAAUCAAUCUGUCUGGUGCACAAUCCAGACCCCUCCAUCUGAAAGCGAAGACCCCAUGGAGUUUCACUGCAACCUGUUGUUGUUGUAGGAAUUGGCAUGUGUAGAGUAGACGGGAGACGUUACCCAGGAAGGUGCGCUAGCAUCUCUCCGAGUCACCGAUGAAACACCGUCCUUGCCGAUUUUUAUGACUUACCUCUUAGGAGGGACAGCUAUAGGCGGGCAGUUCGGGUGGGGCGCCACGCCCUCAAAAAGAUAACAAGGGCGCCCAAAGGUUAGCUCAGGUAGGUCAGAAAUCUACCUAAGAAUGUAAAGGUAAAAGCUAGCUUGACGCGGAACCAGAUAAUAGGGUUCGGCGAUAGGAAACUAGGGCUUAACGAACCAAUCAACCUCCUGAAUGGGGGUGAUUGAUGUCAGAAAAAUUACCCUGGGGAUAAUUGAGUUGUCACGAGCAAGAGUUCAUAUCGACCUCGUGGCUUGCUACUUCGCUGUCGGCUCUCCCUAUCCUGGUGGUGCAGCAGCUGCCAAGGGUGGGGUUGUUCGCCCAUUAAAAGGGAUCGUGAGCUGGGUUUAAAACGUCGCGAGACAGUUUUGUUGCUUUUUGAUGGAGGUGUAGGUGC
rnacentral:rRNA from 1 species